rnacentral:rRNA from 1 species
CCUACGGGAGGGCUGCAGUGAGGAAGAUUGGGCAAUGGCCGGAAGGCUGAACCAGCCAAGCCGCGUGAAGGACGAAGGUGACAAGCAUUGGAAACUUCUUUUGACAAGGGACAAAAUCAGGCUCGAGAGCCUGACCGAGGGAACUUGAAGAAAAAGCAGCGGCGAACGCCGUGCCAGCAGCCGCGGUAAUACGGAGGAUGCGAGCGUUAGCCGGAUUUAUUGGGUUUAACGGGAGCGUAGGUGGAUUUUUAAGUCAGUUGUGAAAGUUUGCGGCCCAACCGUAAAAUUGCAGUUGAAACGGGCAGUCUUUAGUACAGUAGAGGUGGGCGUAAUUCGUGGUGUAGCGG